rnacentral:rRNA from 1 species
AACGAACGCUGGCGGCAUGCCUAACACAUGCCAGUCGAACGAGACCUUCGGGUCUAGUGGCGCACGGGUGAGUAACGCGUGGGAACCUGCCCUUAGGUUCGGAAUAACUCCCCGAAAGGGGUGCUAAUACCGGAUAAUGUCUUCGGACCAAAGAUUUAUCGCCUUUGGAUGGGCCCGCGUUGGAUUAGCUAGUUGGUAGGGUAAAAGCCUACCAAGGCGACGAUCCAUAGCUGGUCUGAGAGGAUGAUCAGCCACACUGGGACUGAGACACGGCCCAGACUCCUACGGGAGGCAGCAGUGGGUAAUAUUGGACAAUGGGCGAAAGCCUGAUCCAGCAAUGCCGCGUGAGUGAUGAAGGCCUUAGGGUUGUAAAGCUCUUUUACCCGGGAUGAUAAUGACAGUACCGGGAGAAUAAGCUCCGGCUAACUCCGUG